rnacentral:rRNA from 1 species
UACGUAGGGGGCAAGCGUUGUCCGGAAUCAUUGGGCGUAAAGAGCGUGUAGGCGGCUCGAUAAGUCUGCUGUAAAAGUCAAAGGCUCAACCUUUGAAUGCCGGUGGAUACUGCCGGGCUAGAGUCCGGAAGAGGCGAGUGGAAUUCCUGGUGUAGCGGUGGAAUGCGCAGAUAUCAGGAGGAACACCGAUAGCGAAGGCAGCUCGCUGGGACGGUACUGACGCUGAGGCGCGAAAGCGUGGGGAGCGAACAGG